UAUCACCAUCGACGCCAAAUUGUUGUGUCUUCCUCGCCGUCAAUUUUCUACGCACAAAUCACACAAAAUAUUACAAACUUCCUGCAGCAGCAGCAUCAAUCAUGAAGUUAUUCCUCCUUGCCACACUUCUGAGCAUCAUCUGGCAAUCCACAGAAGCAGCUGUGGUGGCUACAGUGGAGAAUGAGAAUCCCAUCAUUGGGAUCCUGGCACAGGAGAUGUCCUACUCGCUGGAGAAUCGCUAUCCUGGGAUGUACAAGAGCUUCAUUGCGGCAUCUUAUGUUAAAUUUGUCGAAGGUGGAGGAGCACGUGUUGUUCCGAUCUGGAUCGAUAAGCCGCGUGAGUACUAUGAGGACAUCAUGAUGAAGAUCAAUGGGAUUCUGUUUCCGGGUGGAGCGACGUGGUUUAAUCAGACAAAUGGCUACUCCGAAGCAGCUGAACACAUCUACGCCAUUGCUGUGGAUCUCAAUGAUCGCGGUGAAUACUUCCCCCUCUGGGGAACAUGCCUGGGCUUUGAACUCCUCACAUACCUUUCGGCCAAUAGCCGUGAGCAUCGUGCUCACUGUAGCUCCCAGAAGCAACCACUACCGCUUGAUUUCAUGCCAGACUUCCGCUCAAGUCGAAUGUUUGCCAAAGCACCAGACAGCAUCAUUGAGAUCCUUGCCAAUGAUCCGGUCACACCGAAUUUCCAUCAAUUCUGCGUGACGCAGGAAAAUCUCACGGACUACGGGAUUGCUGAUCAAUGGCGUGUGAUGUCGGACAACAAGGACUGGAAUGGAUUCACCUUCCUCUCGACCAUUGAGCACACAAAGUACCCCUUCUACGGCAUCCAAUUCCACCCGGAGAAGAAUCUCUACGAGUGGAUCUACAACAAUAACAUUUCCCACACUCCUGAAGCCAUCCUGGCGGCGCAGUACUUUGCUCAGUUCUUCGUGGAUGAGACCCGACGCAGUGAUCAUGGCUUUGCAAAUCAUUCAGAUGAGAACAAUCACAUGAUCUACAACUACGAAUCCACCUUCACGGGGAUGCUCGGCUCUAGCUAUGAGCAGUGUUACCUCUUUGACGAGGAUGUGGACUAUGUCACGGCAAAGGGACCAGGUGAUGAUGCCACGUGCAUGGCACACAGCAAAUGGGCAGUUCUUUUGGCUUUCCUAACAGCUAAACUCAUUCAGAAGCUUUUUGCAUGAAGAUUUUUUAUUUAAUUAACAAAAAGGAAUUCAAGCAGAGAAUUUGCAUGAAAAAAACAAUCUCAGUGAAGCUGAUAGGAAAGAGUUCGCAGAAUAGGAUAUAUUAGAUUUAGGGAAAAGAUUAAGGAGGAAGGAUGGCUUCUAAUAUGAAAAAAGUCUUUUUAUUUCUUCUUAAUCUUUCAAUUUUUAUCGAAUUAAAAGUUUAAAACAAUCUACAAAAAAUGCUUUAUCCUUGAUCCGAAUCGAGUAAAAUCGAAUACAAAAUUACCGAUUUAGGGAAUAAAGGCCAUCCUUCCUGGAAAUUUAAGCAAUUUUCAUAGAAAUAAGGAUCGCUUAAACUGCAAUGUCCUGCCCUUUUAUUGUAGUUAAAUAAAUAAAAGAAAACUCUUAAGAUCUUUUAGAUCAAAAUUGAAAAACAAAAAAUUAGACUUUUUAUUAUAAAUCUCCUCGACCUCAUUUUAGUUCAUUUUAAUUGUUUUAAUUGACAGGAACAUAAAGUUUUUAACUUAAACGUGCUUAUACAGCCAACUCUAAAAUUUAGGGGAAAAAAGCCAAAGCGUCUGGUCGGUCUGGUCAGUCGCUUCAUUAAAAUAACAGGUGGUUGAUUCUAAGACAUCUUUCGUAAAUCUAUAAUAAAUCUGAUAAAGGGGAUAAAGGAUAUUGUCCACAACCUUAUAAAAAAUUUCCAAAAUUUUAAUACUUUUAUUUAAAAUAAAUUUCUGAAGGUAUUUUUCGUAUUUUUAAACAAAUGAAAAAUGGAUUAUUUCUUAGAAAUUAUUGAAAAAAUCGUUUUAUUUUAUAUUUAUUUAGAAGAAAAUUAUGAUUCUCUGAAUUCCUUAUUUUGGGUUGAAGUUGAAAGAUUUUAUAAUUAAUUAAAAGUCUUUAAUUUUUUCCACAAAUUCAAAAGAUUUUCUCCAACAUAAUGCACAAAAUCCAUUUAUUUUCUUAUUUUUUAUUUAAUUUAAAAACAGACCGUUCGAUAAGUAGGACAAGCUGACAAUUCAGGCGUCUCCAGGAACAAGAAUGAAGAAAAUCAAACAAAUAAAACUUUCCAAAUUUAUAAUA